CAUGUGGAAGUUCUCAGGCUAGGGGUUGAAUCAGAGCUUCAGCUGCUGACCUACGUCACAGCUACAGCAACGUGGGAUCCAAUCUGCGUCUCCAACCCACACAACUUACAGCAAUGCCGGAUCCUUAACACACUGAGUGAGGCCAGGGAUCAAACCCUCGUCCACAUGGAUAUUAGUUGGGUUGGUUUCUGCUGAGCCACAAUGGGAACUCCUCUGAUGCAGUUCUGAGCAUAUUGUGUGGUCCUUGUCCGGGUCCAGUUCUGUCCCCACAAAAGACCAGAGGAUCUCCCCCAAGAGCAGGAAAUGAUCUGAUUCAUCCCUGGAGUGGCAUCGCUCAGCACAGGGCUGGAUACAAGAGGGAGGAGGUUGAUAAAUAUCUGCACCUCUGCCUUUCUAGAUGAACUGACUGGACUUGGAUGUCUGAUUAUGGUAGCUGGCUUCCUGCUGGAGAUGGGGAAGAGAGAACAAUAUUUAAGGGGAGUUAUGUUCAUGGCAAGUUAUGUUUAAAGAAUGCUUUCAUUUAGGUGCCUCCAAAAGCAAACGCUGGGAGGAGUUCCCGUCAUGGCACAGUGGUUAAUGAAUCCGACUAGGAACCAGGAGGUUGCAAGUUCGAUCCCUGGCCUUGCUCAGUGGCUUAAGGAUCCGGCGUUGCCGUGAGCUGUGGUGUAGGUUGCAGACGCGGCUCGGAUCCCGCGUUGCUGUGGCUGUGGUGUAGGCCAGCGGCUAGAACUCCGAUUUGACCCCUAGUCUGGGAACAUCCAUAUGCCCUGGGAGCAGCCCUAGAAAAGGCAAAAAGACAAAAAAAAAAGCGCAAACGCUGGGAGUUCCCACUGUGGCUUAUUGGGUUAUGAACCCAACUAGUAUUCACGAGGAUGUGGGUCCCAUACUUGGCUUCACUCAGUGGGUUCAGGAUCCAGCAUGACCGUGACCUGUGGUGUAGGUCUCAGACACAGCUUAGAUUUGGCAUUGCUGUGACUGUGGUGUAGGCUGGCAGCUGCAGCUCUGAUUUGACCCCUAGCCUGGGAACCUCCAUAUGCCAUGGGUGUGACCCUAAAAAGACCCCAAAAAAAGUUUACCAAGGAGCAAUCCCAAGGGUACAGAACCUCUCCACCCCCCACCCCAGGCCUGCUGGGCAUGGGAGCCCCCCACCCUCCCAGAGAGCACCCUCCGAAAGAAGCAUAGGGAGCAGCUGGGGAGACUGAGCAUCUGGGAACCAUCUAGAGAAGACUUCUCGGGUGGACCAGGGGGAUACGGGCACGCACAGCAUCUGCUUCAGAGGGUGAUGUAUUUGAAGUGCCUGAGAGAAAUCCAGGGGGCAAGUAGCAGAAGAUACACUGGGGUUGCAGGCACCGAUCCUUGUGACCUGCAAAGCCCUUCGUGCUGUGGCACCUGCUUCCUCUUUGACCUCCGUUCCUACUUCUCUCUCCCUUGCUGGCGCUCAUCAGCCGCUGGCCUUCCUUCUUUUCUUCCAAUACGCCAAGCUCUUUCCUACCCCCUGGCCUUUGCACUUGCUAUUGCCCCUACCUAGAUGCUGUCCUCAGCUCUUUGCUUGCCUGGCUCUUUCCUCAACCUUCAAAGUUUCAACAUAGACAUUACACAGUGUCAGAGGCCUUCUCCGACUGUCUGGUUCAAGUACCCUCCCACCCCCCACCUUCUCCAGCUUCAGUCCUUUAUUUUUUUCCUUCUCACCUUCCCUCCUUCCCUUCCCUCCUCAUUCUUUCCUUCAUUAGCAAACUUUUGUCCCCUUUUAUCUUUUUACAGCCCUGCAGCAUGUGGAGGUUCCCAGGCUAGGAGUCCAAUUGGAGCCGUAGCUAUCAGCCUGCGCCACAACCACAUCAACGCUGAAUCCAAGCUAUGACUGGGACCUACGCCAUAGCUCACAGCAAUGCGGGAUCCUUAACCCACUGAGCGAGGUCAGGGAUCGAACCCAUAACCUCUUGGACACUAUGUCAGGUUCUUAACCCACUGAGCCACAAUGGGAAUUCCUCAUUAAUAUUGAUGGAGUGCUUACCAUGUGCUAGACAGCCUCCUAGACACAGGACACAUAAUGGUCUGCAAAACAAAUGUGUCAUCUGGCAAACAGGCUCCCAGGAGCUUGCUUGUGUUUCAAAAAUAAACAAGCAACAAAGACCUAUUUGCAAUAGUGAUAAGUGAGGGCCUAGGGAAGUGCUGAGGGUGGAAAUAAGGCAGAAGAUCCAGCUUUACCGAGACUGUCACCAAGUCCCCAUUGCAGCAUCACACUUGUCACAGUGUGCGUUUCAUCUGUCUCCCCUCCUAGACCACAAGGCGAUGGUCUUCCCAGGACCUGGCAUGGAGCCUGGCACAGUACGUGCUCAAUAAGUGGUAACUUGGUAAAUGAAUGACUUGAGACUGGAGGUGGUUACAAGCCAAGGGGUGGACGGCGAUCCCCAGGGAGAAUAUAAAGAUGAGGAAGAGCAGGUCUAAGGAGACCCAAGGAGAGGAGACUCCAAGACAAAAGGAUCUGGGGCUCUGCCUACAGCCAGAGCAGAGAACUUCACCUUUGUCCCUUGGACACACAUAUUCUCUUUGGCUGUUAGCUCCUCCUUGAGCUGGAAGGGUCUCUGAGGAUUCACUGCUUCCAGCCUCAAAGGUCCCUAUAAUUAGGACCCAG
rnacentral:lncRNA from 1 species